AGAUUUGAGAUUAUUAGUGUUUGUUUCCUCCAUCAUCAAUCAAUCACGUUUAGGGUUUCUGCGUUAUCAAUGAAUCGUUCUCUGCCUCUCAUUCGUUCCUCUAUGAAUCCGACUCUGAUCUUCGUCAUAAAGGUUAGAUUUUGUCAAUGAAUCAAGUAUCGUUCUUGAUAUUUUAGAUUUUAUAACUAAUAAUUUCUUUUGUUUUGUAUAUCUCAUCUGAAAUCCGACUUCACAUCAAUCUUCAAUCUUCAAUCUUCGACUCCCUCAUUCGCAUUCUCUCUGGAGAAACCCUAGCCGCCUCCUUCAGCUAGACCAUCGGUUCUCAUCUUCCUCUUCAAGGUUUCUGUCUUCCAUUCAUACAUCUUUCUCUCUUCUCCGGCUCUAAAGUUCACCCAUUAGGGUUGGCUUGAAGAUGGUGUUGAACAGGGCGAACUUUCCGAUUUUUCGAUGGUUUGACGUCUCAGCUGGACUCUAUUUUACUUCAACCAUAGCUGAAUUAAUUGCCGUGGAGAAAGACAACGCAUUCAUUGAGGGUUACAUGUCUUCAUCUAAAAUGAUAUACAGAUGGCGGUGGAGAAAGUCGAUAAUUUUUCUAGGGUUUACUUUGAUUCAUGGAGCACGACUGGAAGAGUUGUCUCACAAAAGCUGUAGAAAAAUCUCAGCCAUGAGAGUAUCAUCACAUGACAAAGUUCGAGCUUUGACAUGGCAUUGGAGGAGGGAACCAGUAAGUGAAAAUGAAUGUCGCGGACGAGAACAGUGCAAGGAGAUGCUACAGGAAUCACUGUAACUGAGAAUAGGGAAUAGUGGAAGUCUUCUUCAUCUGAUAUGGUCGAGUGUGCUGAUUAGUUGAAGCGAUUACAUUAGUAUUCAAAGAAUGUAUAAAAUAUCAACAAAAAGAAUAGGUUAGUGGGGAGAUCAUGUCAUUUUACAAGUGGCUGCUGAUAGGUUGAUGAUAAUAUAGCCAUGGUUUAGAGAACGGCCAACUGCUAAGUGGGAUGUUGGAUUCGCUUUCACCUGAGCAAGUAAUUCAGUGUCAACCAGAGGAUGGCCGCAUUGCCCUUUGUCGUCUUCAGUCGCCAACGAAAACCGCCCUGCUCGAUUGGGCCAUCAAUCUGAACGCUGAUGCUAUCUAACACGAGCAUCUCAAGAAGAUGAAUUCACACAAUAUUGCAAUGGUUUUCGCCCCAAAUGACUCAGGCCUCACCACGAGAAUCACAGUCCGAUGAAAAUAGUGGUCAAGGCCUGGACUCUAUCCACACGUGCAACAAAAUCUUGAUGAAAAUGAAGAGAGAGAACAAGAAUUCAUCCCUGAAGAUAAUCAUCUUUAAAAAUUAACUGCCACAGAAGGAUCUAAUGGACCCGGGUUGUGUAAUUGGCCUGUUCAAUCCCCACUCUUCCUGCCCAUUGUAUGUCGCGUACUUCGUUAGCGACUCAAGCACACCUUUGUCGCCGUUGAAGACAAAUCGAGAGUUCGCGCCAGAAAAAGAGCUAUGAGUUCCAUCAGUUUCAGGUUGUUGGUAGAGGUGUACCUACGGAGUCAGGUAAGCAACCAGAGAUUUAUUGUAUGAAGCUUUGGGCCACCUUUGAAGUUCGUGCUAAGAGCGAGUUUUGGUUAUUUAGAGUUACUUAUUUUUUGUAUUUCAGAUCCAGUGACACACGAUGGUAUAUCAAGUUUUAUGGUAUUAACCCUAAAAAAAUAUAGACAUCAUUGUUGUAGGCAUUUUGGGCUGUAAUCUGCUAGAAUAUGUAGGCAUCAUUUGUUAUGAUAUACAACACAUUGGAGUUUUUAUCGACUUGCAAGUUGGCGAACCUAAUAGUAAAGGCGGAGCUGGGGUGUUGCUUGCUUCACAUGAGCGGUAGACUGAUCAUCGAAGUCUGCAAUCUACAAUGUGAAUCCAACCCUUUCUAUCUCUCCUAUGUUAUUAUCACCACCGCUGGUGGCUGUGAGGCGGCUUUGUCAUCCAAUGCAUAGAAGAAUGGUGACAGUGUGUGUUUCUAAAACUCGAAUCAAAGGUGGCGCAAAAGCAGCUUUGACUAGCGAAUGUUAUCAAUAAUUUCUCUGCCUCAAACUGUAGUUUUUAUUAAUGAUUUAUUGCUAGAAAAAACAAAUUUUUUUUCUACUUUGGAAUGUCUAUAAUAGUAGUGGUGGUGUUUCUUUUUUCUUUUUUGUACUUCCUGAAGUAUAUUUGGAGAAACCUGAUGCUUAUAUAAUUGAUAUGCCUUAGUUGAAGUAGCUUAUAUAAAAAUUGGAGGAAAUUCGAAUAGUCUCUGGACACUUCAGCCUUGGGCAAACAAAUGGCUUGCUCUACCCCAUGAAAGCACGUAUGAGG